CACGCUAACCAUUCGAUCUCAAUUUUUGAGAAAAACGUCGCAAAAACGAGAUCGAUUCUGCCAACUCAAUUUUUGCGAUCAGUUUCUUUUGUUUACAUUCGCAAUUUUGAGUUGGCAAGAGCGAACUCAGCGUUGAGAUGACUGUUAGCGGUUUUCAAUCAGUCUUCUGCAGUUUGUCAGUGGUCGCUGUCAAGAUCAAACCGCGUGGAAGUUUCGUCCUUGUUUAUCAGAGAAAUUUGUGAAAUUGCGUGAAUUAGUAGUCUGAAAAUUGUACAGCUUUCCAGCUCGUCCUCCCGGCAGCGGUUUGUGCGCGUCCCAGCCAGUCCGUGUUUCGGCAACUCGUCCUCGUUCCGGAAGGUGGGAAAGUCUCCCUCCCGGUAGUUGUUAGUACGCGUCCCAGCUGCGGCCCGCGUUUCUGCACCCAAUCACGUUCCGGAGGGUUGUUUUCCCAGCAGUGAUUUGUGCGCGUCCCAGCAGCGGCCCCGUUCCGGAGGGUCGUCCUUUCGGCAGCUGCCCGCGUUUUAGCAACUCGACCUCCCGGAAGUAGACUUGUCAAUUAUUUCAUAUUUCUUUCAUGUAAAAUAGUAAAAAAAUAUCUUAAAAUAAAGAGAAACUUUUCAAUUUUCA